UACGAAGGGGGCUAGCGUUGCUCGGAAUCACUGGGCGUAAAGCGCACGUAGGCGGAUCGUUAAGUCAGGGGUGAAAUCCUGGAGCUCAACUCCAGAACUGCCUUUGAUACUGGGGAUCUCGAGUCCGGAAGAGGUGAGUGGAACUCCGAGUGUAGAGGUGAAAUUCGUAGAUAUUCGGAAGAACACCAGUGGCGAAGGCGGCUCACUGGUCCGGUACUGACGCUGAGGUGCGAAAGCGUGGGGAGCAAACAGG
rnacentral:rRNA from 1 species